UGGCGUGAGGAUUUAGAAGGGGCGGGGUGGUUUGGGACGGUAGUUUAAUUACGUGCCUGGGAAUAGUGUCGAUUUGUGCUCUAGCGUUUGAAGAAAAGUGCCAUUAACUUGGAGGGGGGCCGGUGGUGGGUGAGGCGAAUGUACUGUUCUGAAACCGAAGGGCUGUAAGCGCUUCCCCCUUUCUCUAAACGAGGCCGUCCGGCGGGCUCGGCAGCCGCCUCUGGACGGUCCGGAGAGAACAUGGCGGCGCCCGGAGCCCGGAGCUGCAGCCUGUCGGGCCUGCUCCCGGCUCAGACCUCGCUGGAGUACGCCCUGCUCGACGCCGUCACCCAGGAGGAGAAGGACAGCUUGGUCUACCAGUAUCUGCAGAAGGUGGACGGUUGGGAGCAGGACUUAUCAGUGCCCGAGUUUCCGGAAGGGUUAGAAUGGCUGAACACAGAAGAAUCUAUUUCUAUCUACAAGGAUCUCUGUGGAAAAGUGGUCGUCCUUGAUUUCUUCACCUACUGCUGCAUCAACUGUAUUCACCUCUUGCCUGAUCUUCAUGCAUUAGAACACACAUACUCUGAUAAAGAUGGUCUUCUGAUUGUUGGAGUUCACUCGGCUAAGUUUCCAAAUGAGAAAGUCCUGGAUAAUAUUAAGAGCGCUGUUCUUCGGUACAACAUCACCCACCCCGUGGUUAAUGAUGCAGAAGCCAGCCUUUGGCAAGAACUAGAAGUUUCCUGCUGGCCAACCCUGGUCAUACUUGGACCCCGUGGAAACAUGUUGUUUUCUUUGAUUGGAGAAGGACAUAAAGAUAAAUUAUUUUUGUAUACUUCAAUAGCUUUAAAGUAUUACAAAGACAGGGGACAGAUCAAAGAUAAUAAAAUUGGAAUAAAGCUCUACAAAGAUUCUUUGACACCUUCACCAUUGCUGUUUCCUGGCAAAGUAACGGUAGACCAUGUUACUAACAGAUUGGUAAUAGCAGACACUGGACAUCAUAGGAUUUUGGUCGUCUGGAAGAAUGGACAAAUUCAGUACACCAUUGGAGGACCCAACCCUGGAAGAAAAGAUGGAAUAUUUUCAGAGUCAACUUUUAACUCACCACAAGGUGUAGCCAUAAGGAAUAAUAUCAUAUAUGUGGCAGAUACUGAAAACCACCUUAUAAGAAAGAUUGACCUAGAAGCUGAGAUGGUGAGCACUGUGGCUGGCAUUGGAAUUCAAGGUACAGAUAAAGAAGGUGGAGCUAAUGGAGAAGAACAGCCCAUUAGUUCCCCUUGGGAUGUAGUUUUUGGAAGGUCAGGUUCAGAGGCCCCAGGAGAUGACAUUCUGUGGAUAGCCAUGGCAGGGACGCAUCAGAUAUGGGCCCUGCUGUUGGACUGCGGCAGACUACCAAAGAAGAAUGAGUUAAAAAAAGGAACCUGCCUUCGGUUUGCUGGAAGUGGAAAUGAAGAGAAUCGAAAUAACGCAUAUCCUCACAAGGCAGGUUUUGCCCAACCUUCAGGUCUUUCUGUGGCCUCAGAAGAUCCCUGGAGCUGCCUGUUUGUGGCAGACAGUGAGAGCAGCACAGUGAGAACCGUCUCACUGAAAGAUGGAGCAGUGAAGCACCUCGUGGGAGGAGAGAGGGAUCCCAUGAAUUUAUUUGCUUUUGGUGAUGUUGAUGGAGUAGGAAUCAAUGCAAAGCUUCAGCACCCACUUGGAGUAACUUGGGACGAGAAAAGGAAUUUACUUUAUGUGGCAGACUCUUACAAUCACAAGAUUAAAGUUGUGGAUCCCAAAACAAAAAGCUGUACAACAUUAGCAGGAACUGGAGAUGCAGGUGACACAAUCGGCUCCAGUUUUACCAAGUCAACUUUUAAUGAACCAGGAGGCUUGUGUAUUGGAGAGAAUGGUCAGUUAUUAUAUGUAGCAGAUACCAAUAACCAUCAAAUUAAAGUGAUGGAUUUAGAAACAAAAACGGUUUCUGUGCUCCCAGUCUUCAGAUCCGAAAGUGCCAUGGUGGACGGCCCAAUCCUAGCAGAAAAACGGACAUUACCCAAACUACCUAAAUCUGCUCCGGGCAUUAGACUUUCCCCAGUGGCUGCAUCUCCAGGACAGACUCUUCAGUUCAAGCUAAGAUUAGACCUCCCAUCAGGAACAAAGUUAACUGAAGGAGCACCCAGUUGCUGGUUUCUGUCAGCUGAAGUUUCUGUGCUCAACUCAUCAUGGUUGAUGGACCAACAGCGGUCCACAGACUGCAUACUUUGGUGGCACUGUUGUAGAGCACUGCAGCCUAAAGAGAUCAAGGAGGAGGAGGAACCUGCACAGAAGGCUGAAGAGUGAAUAUACGCAAGGAGAAGCAAAACCAAGAGAGUGUAGUUUCCUGGAGCCAGGUGUUUUAAGGAGGAGCUAUUGAUAGAUCAGGCAAUGAAUGGCUUCUUCAAGGACAGAUACCAUCUGGAGAGAUAGAGAGCAUUUCCAAUCAACCAACAAUCUCACUGCAGAUUCCUGGAGACUGUGUAUCUCUCGAAGUCGUUCUGUCUAUCAGCGUGUUUCUUUAUUACUGUAGCACAGACAGCAGUGCCUGUAUGAUGAAGGGAAUUUUGUUCAGUCAGCCUUUACAAA